rnacentral:rRNA from 1 species
AUUGAACGCUGGCGGCAUGCUUUACACAUGCAAGUCGAACGGUAACAGGUUAAGCUGACGAGUGGCGAACGGGUGAGUAAUGCAUCGGAACGUGCCCGAUCGUGGGGGAUAACACUUCGAAAGAAGUGCUAAUACCUCAUACUAUCUGAGGAUGAAGGCGGGGGACCGUAAGGCCUCGCGCGAUCGGAGCGGCCGGUGUUAGAGUAGGUAGUUGGUGGGGUAAAGGCUCAGCAAGCCGACGAUCUGUAGCUGGUCUGAGAGGUCGACCAGGCACACGGGGAGUGAGACACGGCCGAGACACCUACGGGAGGCAGCGGUGGGGAAUGUUGGGCAAUGGGGGAAACCCUGAUCCAGCGACGCGGCGUGAAGGAUGAAGGUCUUCGGAUUGUAAACUUCUUUUGUUCGGGGCGAAAAGGCUCUCUCUAAUACAGGGGGCUCAUGACGGUACCGUAAGAAUAAGCACCGGCUAACUACGUGCCAGCCGCCGCCGUAA